AUAAAGAAUAUGAAAGAUGGUUUACUGUAUGAUACCUAUAUGUGUAACAAAAACAUGUUUAAUAAUAAUAUUGAAUGCUGGUAUUCAUCCAUACAUUUCUUUUUUAAAAAGAUGAAUAUUCAUAAUUUGGAAGUGAAGCUCAACUUUUUUAUCAAGUCAGUUAAGCAAAAACUUUGUAAUAGUUUUAUAAAAUUUUGGAACACAAAAAGAACAGAUACACAGAGUAGUAAAUUAGAUACUUAUUUCAAACUUAAAACUUGUUUUUCGAAAGAAAUGUAUCUAUCUUUAAACAAUUUUCAAUUGAGAAGUGCCAUAUGUAAAAUUAGAAUCAGUGCACAUGAUCUCAAAAUAGAAAGAGACAGGUAUAAAACAUUAUAUAUAGAAAGAAAUCAAAGGCUUUGUAAGAAAUGUACUCUAAAUCUGGUUGAAGAUGAACGACAUUUUAUAACUAGUUGUCCAGCAUACAAAAAUGAUAGGGAGAUAUUUUUCCAGGAGAUAAACUGUAUGUGUCCUAAUUUUAUACAUCUUUCAAAUGAGG
rnacentral:lncRNA from 1 species